rnacentral:rRNA from 1 species
GAAGAUUGGUGCUUGCACCAAUUUGAAGAGCAGCGAACGGGUGAGUAACGCGUGGGGAAUCUGCCUUUGAGCGGGGGACAACAUUUGGAAACGAAUGCUAAUACCGCAUAAUAACUUUAAACAUAAGUUUUAAGUUUGAAAGAUGCAAUUGCAUCACUCAAAGAUGAUCCCGCGUUGUAUUAGCUAGUUGGUGAGGUAAAGGCUCACCAAGGCGAUGAUACAUAGCCGACCUGAGAGGGUGAUCGGCCACAUUGGGACUGAGACACGGCCCAAACUCCUACGGGAGGCAGCAGUAGGGAAUCUUCGGCAAUGGACGAAAGUCUGACCGAGCAACGCCGCGUGAGUGAAGAAGGUUUUCGGAUCGUAAAACUCUGUUGGUAGAGAAGAACGUU